rnacentral:rRNA from 1 species
GUGUCAGCCGCCGCGGUAAAACGUAGGGGGCGAGCGUUGUCCGGAAUUACUGGGCGUAAAGGGUGCGUAGGCGGCCUUUUAAGUCAGAUGUGAAAGACCGCGGCUUAACCGCGGAAUGGCAUUCGAAACUGGAGGGCUUGAGUGUCGGAGAGGGUAGUGGAAUUCCCAGUGUAGCGGUGAAAUGCGUAGAUAUUGGGAGGAACACCAGUGGCGAAGGCGACUACCUGGACGAUAACUGACGCUGAGGCACGAAAGCUAGGGGAGCAAACAGGAUUAGAUACCCUGGUAGUCCUGGCCGUAAACGAUGGGUACUAGGUGUGGGGGGUUCGACCCCCUCCGUGCCGCAGUUAACGCAUUAAGUACCCCGCCUGGGGAGUACGUGCGCAAGCAUGAAACUUAAAUGAAUUGACGG